UUUUGUACUUCAUAUUAUGCUUUUACUGGUGCUAGAAUGGAUGACUUUGCUUCUCUUCAACUCAGCCUUGAUAGUUGUACCCAUCUCACUUGGGCGUGCUUUGUUCAGUGCCAUUCCUCGCUUCCCAAUAACCCACGGAAUAAAGUGUAAUGAUCUAUAUGCCUUCAAUAUUGGAUGCUACAUCAUCUAGACUACCAUAGUCAGGGCAGGUAUUCAAUUGAAUAUGUUAAAACUCGAAGAGUGGCGAAUCUGGCAGCCCAAAUCUGGAAGUGGUGUACAAUUGUUCUUAAGAGUUCUGUACUGUUGUCAAUAUGGAUAUUUAUCAUCCCGGUGCUGAUUGGUUUAUUGUUCGAGUUGUUGGUGAUUAUACCAAUGCGAGUGCCUGUGGAUGAAAGCCUAGUUUCCUCCUGUAUCAGGAUUGGGCACUGGGGCUCAUAUUUCUGAAGAUCUGGA